GACAGAGGUGCCGAGCGUUAGGCGGAAUCACUGGGCUUAAAGCGUGUGUAGGCGGGCCGUUAAGUGUCUUGUGAAAUCCCCCGGCUCAACCGGGGAACUGCUGGGCAUACUGGCGGCCUUGAGAGACCUAGGGGCGAGCGGAACAAGCGGUGGAGCGGUGAAAUGCGUAGAUAUCAGGAGGAACACCGAUGGCGAAGGCAGAUCUCUGGGCCUUACCUGACGCUGAGGAGCGAAAGCUGGGGGAGCGAACAGG
rnacentral:rRNA from 1 species